rnacentral:rRNA from 1 species
UACGGAAGGUGCAAGCGUUAAUCGGACUUACUGGGCGUAAAGCGCGCGUAGGCGGCUUGGUAAGUCGGAUGUGAAAGCCCCGGGCUCAACCUGGGAACUGCAUUCGAUACUGCCGGGCUGGAGUACGAGAGAGGGGGGUGGAAUUCCAGGUGUAGCGGUGAAAUGCGUAGAGAUCUGGAGGAACACCAGUGGCGAAGGCGGCCCCCUGGUUCGAUACUGACGCUGAGGUGCGAAAGCGUGGGGAGCAAACAGG